ACACGACUACAUUAGAUACCCGUGUAGUCCAGGGUGUAAACGCUGCGGGCUUGGUGUUGGGGGGUCCCUUUGGAGGCGCCCAGUGCCGGAGAGAAGUUGUUAAGUCUGCUACUUGGGGAGUACGUCCGCAAGGAUGAAACUUAAAGGAAUUGGCGGGGGAGCACCGCAACGGGAGGAGCGUGCGGUUUAAUUGGAUUCAACACCGUAAACUCACCAGGGAAGACUGUUACAUGAAGGCCGAGAUGAAGACUCUGCUAGAUUUUCAG
rnacentral:rRNA from 1 species